GGUAGUCCGUACGAGCGCACCCUUGUCCUUAGUUGCCAGCACGUAAUGGUGGGGACUCUAAGGAGACUGCCGGUGACAAACCGGAGGAAGGUGGGGACGACGUCAAGUCAUCAUGGCCCUUAUGGGUAGGGCUACACACGUGCUACAAUGGGAAGUACAGAGGGUUGCGAUACCGCGAGGUGGAGCUAAUCUCAGAAAACUUUUCGUAGUCCGGAUUGCACUCUGCAACUCGAGUGCAUGAAGUUGGAAUCGCUAGUAAUCGCAGAUCAGAAUGCUGCGGUGAAUACGUUCCCGGGCCUU
rnacentral:rRNA from 1 species